AGCAAGGGCCGAAAAAUUGUUAAUGUCCAAUUCACCCCCCUAUUGGACUAUUUUGGGACAACAAUUCCAAGGUGAAAGUGUCCAAUAUGCUUGGUUUCCUGCCAUCCAUAUGUGCAGCUCCUUCAAACUGAGGAGAAGAAGAAGAAAAUCAGAAAGGAGACUGAAAACACAAUUUCUACAAAAGCAAUUCUUUUUUUUUUUUUUUUUU
rnacentral:misc_RNA from 1 species